rnacentral:lncRNA from 1 species
UUUUUUUUUUAAAGUGAAAGGAAGUUUGGACUGAGAAGUCAAAGUCCUUCCCUCUGUGUGUGGACUUCAGUGGAACUCUCAGGUCACAGAGAUUCAGGGUGGUCAGAGGCGGUUUGAUGUUUUGGGGAGAAAGAACAGCCGUGAAGGAUUCUGUGAUGCAGGAGAAGGUGGGAGGCCUCAGGACAGAAUCAGCAGGUCACCAUGCUUUCCUGCGUCAUCCACCUGUGGGCCUCUAAUGUGUUUCUAUGAAGUUUGCAUUAAAGUUUCAGCCACUAUUUUUCAGAAACAUGGUCAACCUCUCCUUCCCUCCUCUAUCUGCUGAUAGAGUUCUACAGAAAACAAGGGAAUGACUUGAGGAGGGGGAUUCUGAAGGUUGUUGGUGGAUUCCUAGAAUGUAGCCCGCAGAACUGUGCCUGGAACGAUACCGGAUCACUGCAAAAGUACAGCGAACAGGGUCGCUUUGAAUAUUAAAGGAGGACUUUUUCAAAGUGUAUAGAGAGCAGUCAAAAGAUCGCCACAGUUGCUCUGUGUUUUCGUGAGCCAGCUUUCUCGGAAGGACUAAGCCAGUGGAUCACAAACAUCCUGGAGAGCAGUGACUCUGUGAUUCCAUCACAAGAAUAUGAAGGACUGAGAAGAUCUCCAGCUCUGCCCAUUGCACCUUCCCAUUGAGAAGCAGCAUGGCACCCUGGUGGCAGGGGCUGAUACUCAGCCGGGCCAGGGUGCUCUCCUGUUAACCAUAACCAAGCUCACAGGACAUGGGAUGAGCCCACUGUGUGACACAGGGAGCGGGACACAGUCUGUUAAGUCUUGCACAGCCAUGCUCUGCCACGCAGGCAGGCCUUUCCUUGGCCUCCCUCUCCCUGUUCGUGCUCAUGUGAACAUCCACCUACGUGGAUAGACUGGGCUUUGGUUCAUUAUUGCUCUGUGAAUUCCUCGAACUUCCGCAUCUGCCCAACCUCCCCCACCCCAUUGUUUUCAUUGUGUUUCACCAAAUGGAAAUUCUAGAGUAAGCAUGUGAGUCCUCUCCCAAACUUGUUCACUGUUGAGAGUGCUAAAAUGCUAACCCCAGAUGCUAACUGAGGGGUAGGGUUACCUUAUCUUUAGAGCACUGCGAAUUGUAUGUUAAGUGGAACUUAAUGAAAAAAUAGUUAAUUGACCAACAUGAAUAUCCCCUGAACAGAAUCUCCCCUGAACAGAAUCCUACAAUGAAACUAAGGGAGAUAAAUAAAGCUGUUUACCUGAAAGCUCUCUCUAAUCAAGAUCCUUUGAAAUUUAUAAAACAUGGUCAAUAUUUGCACUGGACUUUGUAAAAAUAAAGCUUGAUAAGAGAAGA